UUAGAGCGGCAGAGUAACACUGAAUGGUGGAGCGGCGCCGCCUGCAUGUAGCAACUGCUGCCGUCGACGAGGCCGCCGCCGCCACCCGCCGCCGCCCGCUGCCGCGGACCUCCACGUUCGACAAUAGCGCCUUCCUCUACGACGCCAGGGAGGUGUCCCAUGCCAGCAAAUUCUCCGUGUCGCUGGAAAAGGAAAGGUUGAAUCUCUGCAUAGGAUAGCUGAGUUUGUCAUCUCGUUUUGUGAGGCACCAGAACUCGUGGUCAGCAAGGGGAAAAGGCACAAGAUGGAGUUGAUGCUAUCAUUUUACAGCAAAGGGAGGAGGCACUGUAUGUGAGCUGGGGCAAGGAGGCUGUGCUCUAGUGGCCAUUGAAGAGUAACUUCUGAUGAGUUAUCUGAUCCAGCAAUUAAAGUGUUACUGCAAAGCUUGGUUAAGAGAAGAAGGGGCUGUGGUCUGUAUCUAUGACCAAAACCUCGCUGGGUGGCCACUUCUUGAUCAUGGAAUCUUGCUGCUGAGGGUCCAGCAUGUGGUCACGCUGUGUCUUUAUGAAAACCCGCUUUAUUCGAUUCAAUCUCUCAUCAGCUCCUUCAAAGCUUGCAGUACCAAUAGCACUUGCAGGCCAUGGGCGCAUCAGCAUUGAAGCCAGUAUUGACUCCUGAACAAGAUUUUUUCAUAAAACAUGUGUAAGUAAAAUUCGGACCAUUGGUUACCUCUUAAUUGUGUAUGAUGUUUAGUUCUUGAGAAGGUUGUUCAAGACACAUGCAUGGGAUAGCAAUAUCUUGUCAGGAAAUAGCUAUAAUAAAUUUCAUAAUACUGGGCUCAGAUUA